AGGGCAUCUCCAGUUUCCUGCAGCUCUCGGUUCCACAGCAGCACAGUGGAAUUCCAGCUGUUGAUGGAGAGACGCUUCAGGCUAGAGAAGCUCCGUCUUCACAUCCAGACUCCUGAAGAAACUGUGGAGAAAGAAAAAGGACAUCAUCAGCACUGUAAACACACACUACACAUGUAGUGGCUAUUAGAUGUCAGACAGUGGCGACGACUCAGGCCUUGGGAUGUGUUUGUCUUUGACUUUAGUGACACCUGGUGGACAGAAUAGCUAAUAAUUCUGGUUUGAUGUGUGUUUUACACAUCCUUUCUCCACUAAGGGGCAACAUUGGACUUGUUUUCUUUCAACACGUGGAGGACGAGUUCCUGCUGCUCUGAUAAAAUUUGGACGGUCUUCUGGUCUCCCAUCAGAUUGACCUCUUGAAGUUGAUGACCCUGAUUUAUAUCACCUAUCCCAGUUGGUAUAAAAACAAACCAGGUGAGUGCUGGACUUCACCCUGAAGAUAUCAGUUUGCUAAAAUGUGAAACUUUAUCAGUCGAGGCAAAUAGAGCGGUGUAAUGAGCGUGUCGUAUUAGUUUCGAGACUCUUCUGUAGGUAGGUAGGUAGGUAGGUAAAUAGAUAGAUAGAUAGAUAGAUAUAGAUAGUGUACAAUCAGUUACAAGUUAUGUGCAUCAUCAUCUUGACAUAUGAGAUGAUUUUAUGGCUGUGUGGAGCAAUUUUCCAAAAAUGCACAUGAGCACUAACUAUGUGUAUUAAUUUCUGCUGCUGUUGCAUGCACACCAUAAUUCAUCAGUUCAAAGAAAUCACGAUAUAAACUUUUACAUUCUGUGAAAUGCUGUUGUAAAUUGUUUUUAAUGACUAUAUUUAAAGUAGAUUUUGUGGUGUUAGCCACUUUGAACAAAUUAUUUUUUCUUUUCUUUUCUUUAAACGAUUAACCUGCAGGUUGAUUAAAAAUGCUUAUGAUGAGUUUUUUUUCCUUUUUAUAUUGCAACAAAAUUGUGAUGAUGUAACCUUGCAUUUAAACAGUUUUUGUUGUUGUUGUUGUUGUUGUUGUUGUUGUUGACCAAACAGUAUUUUUGAAUUUGGAAGUUAUGAAUAAAACUGGUGGUGUGAUUGAUAAUUAGGACAUUAACUAUGAACCAGAACAAAAUUCAA